GACGAACGCUGGCGGCAGGCCUAACACAUGCAAGUCGAACGAGUGGCGGACGGGUGAGUAAUGUCUGGGAAACUGCCCGAUGGAGGGGGAUAACUACUGGAAACGGUAGCUAAUACCGCAUACCAUCGGAUGUGCCCAGAUGGCAUUAGCUAGUAGGUGUGGUAAAGGCUCACCUAGGCGACGCUCCCUAGCUGGUCUGAGAGGAUGACAAGCUAGACUGUAACUGAGACACGGUCCGGACUCCUACGGGAGGCAGCAGUGGGGAAGAGUGCAAAAUGGGCGAAAGCCUGAUGCAGCCAUGCCGCGUGUGGGAAGAAGGGCUUCGGGUUGUAAAGCACUUUCAGCGGGGAGGCGUUACCCGCAGAAGAAGCACCGGCUAACUCCGUGCCAGCAGCCGCGGUAAUAC
rnacentral:rRNA from 1 species